rnacentral:rRNA from 1 species
AUGGAGGAGCAGCUCGCCGCGCUCAUCAAGUCUGUCAACGAAGGACGGGCCGCCAACGACGCUUGGUUGGAUGCGAUCCAGACCUCCCUCGAGCUCUGGCGCCCGGCGGUGACGAACCUUCAGAAUCAAGUCGACGAGCUCCGCACGCAGGUGGGGCGCAUCGCCCUCCACCCCGCCCUGGCAGAUCCGACGAGGACUGCGGUGGAUCUCACCGGAACCGCGCCUGAUCCGGGACGAUCGGGUGUGGACCAGGUGGUGGGCACCGCGGCGGCAAUCUCACCAAGGGCUGACUCGAGACACCAAGGGCCAAGUGGCCACCGUGACAUCGCCGAAACCGGGGGCCUGGCACACGGGGUGGUCACCACCCUAGCGCCGCCUCCGGCCAACGGUACGUUCCCACCCAGGCAUCCAUCCCCUUCCUUCUGUAUGGCUGAUCUGAGUGGGAGGGAGAACCACUACGAGUCCUUUCAUCAGAGUUCGCAUGUGUAUUGGUCACUGCCCAAGCUUGAUUUUCCUCAAUUUGAUGGGGAUAAUCCACAAUUCUGGAAAAUGAAAUGUGAAAAAUACUUCGACGUCUAUGCUGUCCAACCAGAGUUAUGGGUUAGAGUAGCUACCUUGCAUUUUAAUGGCAACGCUGCUAGAUGGUUACAAUUACAUGAAGCUAAGAGUCAACGGUUCACUUGGGGAGAGUUGUGUGAGGCUCUCUACACCAAAUUUGGGAGAGAGCAAUACCAGUCUCAUAUUAGACAGUUCAAUACCCUUCGUCAGAGUGGGUCAGUUGGUGAUUACAUGAAUAGGUUUGAUGAACUUAUCAUAACAUUUUAG